AAUAAACGUUAGCGGCGUGCCUGAUGCAUGCAAGUCGAACGCUCUGGUAAUUCGCAAGGAUUAUUCAGAGAGUGGCGAACGGCUGAGUAACACGUAAGUGACCUACCUUCAAGUGGGGAAUAACUUGCCGAAAGGUAAGCUAAUACCGCAUGUGCUGGUAAGCUGAGGCUUAUCAGGAAAGCUUUAGGGCGCUUGAAGAGGGGCUUGCGUCUGAUUAGCUAGUUGGUAGAGUAAUGGCCUACCAAGGCGAUGAUCAGUAGCUGGUCUGAGAGGACAAGCAGCCAGACAGGGACUGAGACACGGCCCUGACUCCUAUGGGAGGCAGCAGCAAGGAAUUUUGCGCAAUGGGCGAAAGCCUGACGCAGCGACGCCGCGUGGGGGAAGAAGGCCAUCGGGUCGUAAACCCCUUUUCUCGAGGAAGAAUAAUGACGGUACUCGAGGAAUAAGUCUUGGCUAACUACGUGCCAGCAGCCGCGGUAAUACGUAGGCGGCAAGCGUUAUCCGGAUUUACUGGGCGUAAAGCGGGCGUAGGCGGUUUUUCAAGUCGAUUGUAAAAUCUCCCGGCUUAACUGGGAGGGGCCAUUCGAUACUGUUGGACUAGAGGGCAGCAGGAGGAGGUGGAAUUCCCGGUGGAGUGGUGAAAUGUGUAGAUAUCGGGAGGAACACCAGUGGCGAAAGCGGCCUCUUAGGUUGUUUCUAACGCUGAGGCCCGAAAGCGUGGGUAGCAAACAGGAUCAGAUACCCUGGUAGUCCACGCCGUAAACGAUGGACACUAGGUAUAGGGAGUAUCGACCCUCUCUGUGCCGAAGCUAACGCAUUAAGUGUCCCGCCUGGGGAGUACGGCCGCAAGGCUA
rnacentral:rRNA from 1 species